AGCACGGUGGUUCAAUGGUUAGCACUGUUGCCUGACACCAAGAAGGUCCUGGGGUCAAAUCCCGGCCAUUCCA